GGGUUGUGAGGUUAAGCGACUAAGCGUACACGGUGGAUGCCCUGGCAGUCAGAGGCGAUGAAGGACGUGCUAAUCUGCGAAAAGCGCCGGCGAGGUGAUAUGAACCUUUGACCCGGCGAUGUCCGAAUGGGGAAACCCAGUGUGUUCCGACACACUAUCGUUAACUGAAUACAUAGGUUAACGAGGCGAACCGGGGGAACUGAAACAUCUAAGUACCCCGAGGAAAAGAAAUCAACCGAGAUUCCCCCAGUAGCGGCGAGCGAACGGGGAGCAGCCCAGAGUCUGAAUCAGCUUGUGUGUUAGUGGAAGCGUCUGGAAAGUCGCACGGUACAGGGUGAUAGUCCCGUACACGAAAGCACACUUGCUGUGAACUCGAAGAGUAGGGCGGGACACGUGGUAUCCUGUCUGAAUAUGGGGGGACCAUCCUCCAAGGCUAAAUACUCCUGACUGACCGAUAGUGAACCAGUACCGUGAGGGAAAGGCGAAAAGAACCCCGGCGAGGGGAGUGAAAAAGAACCUGAAACCGUGUACGUACAAGCAGUGGGAGCCUCUUUUAUGGGGUGACUGCGUACCUUUUGUAUAAUGGGUCAGCGACUUAUAUUCUGUAGCAAGGUUAACCGUAUAGGGGAGCCGAAGGGAAACCGAGUCUUAACUGGGCGUUAAGUUGCAGGGUAUAGACCCGAAACCCGGUGAUCUAGCCAUGGGCAGGUUGAAGGUUGGGUAACACUAACUGGAGGACCGAACCGACUAAUGUUGAAAAAUUAGCGGAUGACUUGUGGCUGGGGGUGAAAGGCCAAUCAAACCGGGAGAUAGCUGGUUCUCCCCGAAAGCUAUUUAGGUAGCGCCUCGUGAACUCAUCUUCGGGGGUAGAGCACUGUUUCGGCUAGGGGGCCAUCCCGGCUUACCAACCCGAUGCAAACUACGAAUACCGAAGAAUGUUAUCACGGGAGACACACGGCGGGUGCUAACGUCCGUCGUGAAGAGGGAAACAACCCAGACCGCCAGCUAAGGUCCCAAAGUCAUGGUUAAGUGGGAAACGAUGUGGGAAGGCACAGACAGCCAGGAUGUUGGCUUAGAAGCAGCCAUCAUUUAAAGAAAGCGUAAUAGCUCACUGGUCGAGUCGGCCUGCGCGGAAGAUGUAACGGGGCUAAACCAUGCACCGAAGCUGCGGCAGCGACACUCAGGUGUUGUUGGGUAGGGGAGCGUUCUGUAAGCCGUUGAAGGUGGCCUGUGAGGGUUGCUGGAGGUAUCAGAAGUGCGAAUGCUGACAUAAGUAACGAUAAUGCGGGUGAAAAGCCCGCACGCCGGAAGACCAAGGGUUCCUGUCCAACGUUAAUCGGGGCAGGGUGAGUCGACCCCUAAGGCGAGGCCGAAAGGCGUAGUCGAUGGGAAACAGGUUAAUAUUCCUGUACUUGGUGUUACUGCGAAGGGGGGACGGAGAAGGCUAUGUUAGCCGGGCGACGGUUGUCCCGGUUUAAGCAUGUAGGCGGAGAGUUUAGGUAAAUCCGGACUCUUUUUAACGCUGAGGUGUGAUGACGAGGCACUACGGUGCUGAAGUAACAAAUGCCCUGCUUCCAGGAAAAGCCUCUAAGCAUCAGGUAACAUCAAAUCGUACCCCAAACCGACACAGGUGGUCAGGUAGAGAAUACCAAGGCGCUUGAGAGAACUCGGGUGAAGGAACUAGGCAAAAUGGUGCCGUAACUUCGGGAGAAGGCACGCUGAU
rnacentral:rRNA from 1 species